AUUAUUUUUUUCUCUUUGGAAUGUUGUAUCAUGGACAAAAAUCCAACGUCAUUUGCCUUCAAAAUCGCCGUUUAAAAAAUCGAAUCGAGGCGCAAAGUUGCCAACCUGGAUCUCUUUCAGAGAUCUACGAUCUCUUCAAGAGAUCUAACCUGCACAUAUAUUUCGUUGAUAGAGCUUCAAGCACCUGUGCUCAAACUUAACAGCUGCCAAGUUUCAAACACAUAUUGCACAAAUUAGAUAAAGACGUCUAAACUCCACUAUAGUGUAAAAAUAAAUGAAAAUAGCAGCGGCGUGUAAACCCAGAUACUGUGUAUGUCGUAUAAUCACAUCGCUAUUUCCGUUUGGGUUGUUCACUGUUUCUACACUAUACAAGCUAAAGUGUGAUAAGUGUGGUCAUUGGACACACCUGAAAUACUGCUGUGCUUUGAAGUUUUUAAGGAGUCAUGAUGAGUUCUUUAAAUCACCACUGAAUGUGAUAAUUCUGGUUUAUCUGUGAUUUUGGCAAAAAUGUGACAAAGUGCUGUUUGUGAUAUUAUUCAUUUAUUUUAUUCAUGUUAUAUGUUAUAAUAUACUGUUCGUCUCCACAGCAGAUUAAAUAAUCCAGUAGCCAGAACUUUAA
rnacentral:lncRNA from 1 species